rnacentral:rRNA from 1 species
UACGUAGGGGGCCAGCGUUGUUCGGAAUUACUGGGUGUAAAGGGUUCGUAGGCGGUGUGGCAAGUUGGGAGUGGAAUCUCUGGGCUCAACCCAGAGACGGCUUCCAAAACUGCCGUGCUUGAGUGUGGGAGAGGCUCGUGGAAUUGCAGGUGUAGCGGUGAAAUGCGUAGAUAUCUGCAGGAACACCCGUGGCGAAAGCGGCGAGCUGGACCACUACUGACGCUGAAGAACGAAAGCUAGGGGAGCAAACAGG